rnacentral:pre_miRNA from 1 species
CAUAUACUCCCUCCGUCCGAAAAUACUUGUCAUCAAAAUGGAUAAAAAGAGAUGUAUCUAUAACUAAAAUAUGUCUAGAUACAUCUCCUUUUAUCCAUUUUGAUGACAAAUAUUUCCGGACGGAGGGAGUAGUAG